AUUGAACGCUGGCGGCAGGCCUAACACAUGCAAGUCGAACGAGUGGCGGACGGGUGAGUAAUGUCUGGGAAACUGCCUGAUGGAGGGGGAUAACUACUGGAAAAGGUAGCUAAUACCGCAUACCAUCGGAUGUGCCCAGAUGGGAUUAGCUAGUAGGUGGGGUAAAGGCUCACCUAGGCGACGAUCCCUAGCUGGUCUGAGAGGAUGACCAGCCACACUGGAACUGAGACACGGUCCAGACUCCUACGGGAGGCAGCAGUGGGGAAUAUUGAACAAUGGGCGCAAGCCUGAUGCAGCCAUGCCGCGUGUAUGAAGAAGGCUUUCGGGUUGUAAAGUACUUUCGUCAGGGAGGCGGUAUCUGCAGAAUAAGCACCGGCUAACUCCGUGCCAGCAGCCGCGGUAAUAC
rnacentral:rRNA from 1 species